UAUCUUUGCAAAACUUCCAGAGGUAGAGACUGCAGCUCAAGUUACUUUUUAACAUUGAUCAUCAUUUGGGUUGGUAAAAUACAAUCAUGCAUUAACAACACCCGAGACCCAGGGAACAAUCAAUGGUGCAUUUGGGUGGGAGUUUCUAUAUGAUUCGGAAUACCUGUCCUUAAAAUUCAAUCUUGGCUUUUCAGCAUAUUUCAGCCAGCACUC
rnacentral:misc_RNA from 1 species